GGGAGAGGCAGCAGCUCCAUAUUAAUGGGUUCCUUAAAGAGCAGCCUGGCACAGGUGGGAAAGUGUCAGUACAUCUAAUUGUUGCUCAUAGGUAAACAGCUCCAGAUCUCUGAUGAACCUUUCUACCCUUUCCUGAAACUCUUCUAUUCCAAGACCAACUUUUUGAGAUGAUAGCACUGAUGUGCAAGCACGCCACAAGUUCUACAAUCUUCCAGCUAUUCCUUUGACGUUCUGUUCCAUAAGUGAAGUUGAAGGGAAGAAAUUCAGUCCCCUCCUUCUGUCUGACUCAUCAUGGUGGAGAAGUUCUGACACCAGAGUCCAGCCCCCCGGAAACGAAGCGCUGUCGCAGAUGCAGUCUGCCUUUAAAAGUGAGUCAGGAAUGGCUUUGAAAACAAAACAGAAGGAACCAUUUUAUUGUUACACAAAACUUCAGUACACUCACUUAUCAGCUGAGAAGCUCUGGUCUUGGCCUCUUCAGAAGACAGCGGUGAAGGCACCAAGUAUCAUCCUAUGUCUCCAUUGUAGCUAAGCCAUACCCUCUUGGAUACUCUUUGGAACUUGACCUAAAGGACAAAAGAGCUGGACAUCCUCUUGUCUUCCAAAGCACAGAUGAGGUUGUAGUUUCAAUCUGUACAACUGCUUUUAACAAACCUGAGAGCUCAUUUCCUAUGUGACACAGCCAUCAGCUGGCUGGAUUUAAAAUGACAGCAGAGUUCAUAAUCCAGUUCUGUCCCUCCCAGCUUCACCAAUAUGGAUUGCUACCUGGUGAGUGGGAUGUUGCUUGAAGAAAUGACAUACUCUAUACUGAUAAUUUGACACUGUGAUGCUCUGCUCAGCAAAGCUGCAGAUCCAAGGGUGUUGUGAACAGGUUUUAAGGAUAACCCAACACAGGGCUCAUAUAUUUGCAUGUAAAAGGUGCUUGCAUGCUGUGCAGCUUGUCUCCAGUCCAGCAGAAAAAACAAACCUUUGUCUUUUGAAAUAAUACAGUCCUCACUAUUGAUCAUAGUCCUCAAAAUUGAGCCAUCAUCUAGGGACUUUACAGGCAGCCUUUCACAGGUAACCACAGCAGUCUGUGGGGGACAUAGUAGCCUCCAUCACAGGAACCAAAAAUUUGAUUGGAUUCUCCAUUCCUGUUUCUGUAAAGAUCCACAGCUAAAAGUUGCCUGGACAUAACACAGCAUUCCUCCAAGUGACUCUCACCCCAUACUCGUUGCAUGUUCUUUGCACAGUCUGUGUGGGCUUGGUUACCAGCAGUGUUUCUCUAUGUCCUCAACACAAGAUUGUUCUCUCAGUAAGUGUUUCCCACUGGACAGAAAUAGUUAAUUUCUUUUUUCUCCAUUUCCCCUCCCCCCCCCAGCUAUUUGGUACUGCUACAAAAUGGCAUCGCCAGGAAACUUUUCCAAGGGGACACUUAACCGUAUUUCCUAAUUGGACAGGGACUAAGUUGGAAAAGCUACAACAACUGUACAACUGUGCUGGAAAAGGCUACCCAGAGACGUUGUGGAUGCUCCAUCCCUGGAGGUGUUUGAGACCAGGCUGGAUGGAGCCCUGGACAAUCUGCUCUAGUACCAGAUAUGGAGGCCAAUUGUUCACUUUCGCCAAUACUUAUGUCAGAUGAAGACUGAGAAUCAAUGGACUCUUCCGUUUCACAAAGAAAGAGAUAAAAAACUUGUCUCAAAGUUGAUUCAAGAAAGAAAUUAAAUGAAAAUAACGUUCUGAAGAAUCAAACACUGAGAGUGUUUACUUACGGCAUUCAUUGAUUCUCCACUUUUGGAAAUCAUUUAUUCAAGUCUGAUUAUUUUUUUCCCCAAGACUGAAAUUGAAGUUCAAAAUGGGAAGAAGGAAAAAAAAAAAAAAAAGGAAGCAGUGGACAAGAAAUUUUUGGUUUGUUCCAAAGAAAAUUGUGCAGUAGGAGUUGACAAUGCAUAAAACACUGAGACAGUGUAGAUGAG
ensembl:lncRNA